rnacentral:lncRNA from 1 species
CUUCUUCUUCUUCUUCUUCUUCUUCUUCUUCUUCUUCUUUCUUCUUCUGAGCCCAAUACCCUAGAACAAUAUAUACUCUCAUAUAAGAACAAGGCAACUUUUUUCUCUUUGGAUCUGCCUCAAAAAGGGUCUCCAAAAAAGGGAGUGGAGAAAGGUGGAAGAAAGGUGAGCUGAGAGAGUGAGAAGAUCUGAAAACUUUCUAGUUUUGUGCUGGUUGCUUUGGGAUGUUUUUGGAGCUUAGACCUUGGAGUGUGAGCUUUGAAAAAGAUGAGAGGGAGAGAGAGGAGGAGAUGGGGAGUGUCAAUGAAGAAAGAGAGUCAAAAUGCAUAGGGGUUGAUGCCUGAUUGAAAAUAAAUUUGGUGCAGCGGCUGAGGCCAUUUCGGUACUGACUUCAGAAAAACCCCAUUUUCUUUCUUUGUUUUUUCUACUUUCUUGGCAAGGUAAUAAACCCCUCAUCCUCGUCAUAUGUUCUAUCAAAGAGUAGAGAGAGUGAGAAAGAGAG